rnacentral:rRNA from 1 species
UACGUAGGGCGCGAGCGUUGUCCGGAUUUAUUGGGCGUAAAGAGCUCGUAGGCGGCUCAUCGCGUCUGCCGUGAAAACCUGUGGCUCAACUACAGGCUUGCGGUUGAUACGGGUGGGCUGGAGUUCGGUAGGGGAGACUGGAAUUCCUGGUGUAGCGGUGAAAUGCGCAGAUAUCAGGAGGAACACCGGUGGCGAAGGCGGGUCUCUGGGCCGAUACUGACGCUGAGGAGCGAAAGCGUGGGGAGCGAACAGG